ACAUUCAUCGAGUAGGGAGAACAGCUCGAGCUGGACGAUCUGGUAAAUCAAUCACCUUCGUGACACAGUAUGAUGUGGAACUCUUCCAGCGCAUUGAGCACUUGAUUGGCAAAAAGCUGCCAGCCUUUCCCAGUCAAGAAGAAGAGGUCAUGAUGUUGACCGAGCGUGUGGCUGAAGCCCAGAGAUUUGCUCGCAUGGAAUUGCGGCAACAAGGGGAAAAGAAAAAACGCUCUCGAGACGAGACAAAUGAGGAUGAGGAUGAUGAUGCAGAAGGAGCGUUGGGAGUCAGGAACAAAGUUGCUGGAGGAAAAAAAAAGAAAUGGAAAGUUCAGAAAUAAAUAGCAUCAGACUUUAUUUCUCCAUAUUUUUAUGCAGUUUGGAAUCCUGGAAUCAUCAGUCCAACAUCAUUAUCAGAAUGACUUUCAAGGACUCAUGAAGAAUAUCUCAGCA